rnacentral:rRNA from 1 species
UACGAAGGGGGCUAGCGUUGCUCGGAAUCACCGGGCGUAAAGCGCACGUAGGCGGAUUGUUAAGUCAGGGGUGAAAUCCUGGAGCUCAACUCCAGAACUGCCUUUGAUACUGGCGAUCUUGAGUCCGGGAGAGGUGAGUGGAACUGCGAGUGUAGAGGUGAAAUUCGUAGAUAUUCGCAAGAACACCAGUGGCGAAGGCGGCUCACUGGCCCGGUACUGACGCUGAGGUGCGAAAGCGUGGGGAGCAAACAGG